AGCUAUGCCGGCAAACCAGUGGUUUUAACCCUGGAAUAUGAGAAAGAUCUGGAGGACAUUGCCAAAAAGAUCGCGUCUAUAAUCGUCGCCUUUGCGGACAAAGAUGAAGCGCAGGAUGGCCUGCAAGCGCCUGUGCAGAGCCAAGCGGGCACCCCCAAGAAAUGAGCGCAGUGUCAACCCGGAUGAAGCACCCAGUCAAGAGGCUUGACUUGUUUGUUUGUUUCGCUGCCCCAAUUGUAAUAAAAAAUGAAAGGUGGUUUACAC